rnacentral:rRNA from 1 species
GACGAACGCUGGCGGCGUGCUUAACACAUGCAAGUCGAACGGAAAGGCCCUGCUUUUGUGGGGUGCUCGAGUGGCGAACGGGUGAGUAACACGUGAGUAACCUGCCCUUGACUUUGGGAUAACUUCAGGAAACUGGGGCUAAUACCGGAUAGGAGCUCCUGCUGCAUGGUGGGGGUUGGAAAGUUUCGGCGGUUGGGGAUGGACUCGCGGCUUAUCAGCUUGUUGGUGGGGUAGUGGCUUACCAAGGCUUUGACGGGUAGCCGGCCUGAGAGGGUGACCGGCCACAUUGGGACUGAGAUACGGCCCAGACUCCUACGGGAGGCAGCAGUGGGGAAUAUUGCACAAUGGGCGGAAGCCUGAUGCAGCAACGCCGCGUGCGGGAUGACGGCCUUCGGGUUGUAAACCGCUUUCGCCUGUGACGAAGCGUGAGUGACGGUAAUGGGUAAAGAAGCACCGGCUAACUACGUGCCAGCAGCCGCGGUGAUACGUAGGGUGCGAGCGUUGUCCGGAUUUAUUGGGCGUAAAGGGCUCGUAGGUGGUUGAUCGCGUCGGAAGUGUAAUCUUGGGGCUUAACCCUGAGCGUGCUUUCGAUACGGGUUGACUUGAGGAAGGUAGGGGAGAAUGGAAUUCCUGGUGGAGCGGUGGAAUGCGCAGAUAUCAGGAGGAACACCAGUGGCGAAGGCGGUUCUCUGGGCCUUUCCUGACGCUGAGGAGCGAAAGCGUGGGGAGCGAACAGGCUUAGAUACCCUGGUAGUCCACGCUGUAAACGGUGGGUACUAGGUGUGGGGUCCCUUCCACGGGUUCCGUGCCGUAGCUAACGCUUUAAGUACCCCGCCUGGGGAGUACGGCCGCAAGGCCAAAACUCAAAGGAAUUGACGGGGCCCCGCACAAGCGGCGGAGCAUGCGGAUUAAUUCGAUGCAACGCGUAGAACCUUACCUGGGUUUGACAUGGAUCGGGAGUGCUCAGAGAUGGGUGUGCCUCUUUUGGGGUCGGUUCACAGGUGGUGCAUGGCUGUCGUCAGCUCGUGUCGUGAGAUGUUGGGUUAAGUCCCGCAACGAGCGCAACCCUUGUUCACUGUUGCCAGCACGUUAUGGUGGGGACUCAGUGGAGACCGCCGGGGUCAACUCGGAGGAAGGUGGGGAUGACGUCAAGUCAUCAUGCCCCUUAUGUCCAGGGCUUCACGCAUGCUACAAUGGCUGGUACAGAGAGUGGCGAGCCUGUGAGGGUGAGCGAAUCUCGGAAAGCCGGUCUCAGUUCGGAUUGGGGUCUGCAACUCGACCUCAUGAAGUCGGAGUCGCUAGUAAUCGCAGAUCAGCAACGCUGCGGUGAAUACGUUCCCGGG